rnacentral:rRNA from 1 species
AUACGGAGGGUGCAAGCGUUACUCGGAAUCACUGGGCGUAAAGCGUACGUAGGCGGUUCGUUAAGUUAGAUGUGAAAGCCCCGGGCUUAACCUGGGAACUGCAUUUAAAACUGGCGAACUAGAGUUGAGUAGAGGGGAGUGGAAUUUCAGGUGUAGCGGUGAAAUGCGUAGAGAUCUGAAGGAACACCAGUGGCGAAGGCGACUCCCUGGACUCGAACUGACGCUGAGGUACGAAAGCGUGGGUAGCAAACGGGAUUAGAUACCCUAGUAGUCC